rnacentral:lncRNA from 1 species
GCUUUGCUGUUUCCUUUCAUAUUUUUAUAUUUCUAGAUUUCUAUAUUAAUUGAAUUUAUUUCUUUUUUGUAUUUAUCAGUUAAACAAUUAAUAGUUUUGCAUUUAAAUUAAACAUUAAAGUGAAAUAAACAAAGCAUUUACAUAUUAAGGUUUGAAAUUGAUAUACCAUACUUUCCUAGGACAACUGCUACAGCAAAAUGUCAAAAGUGGAGAGUAAAGCGGUUAAACGCAUGACCCCAAUUGAGGUGGUGCAGAAAAACAAUCCCCUUAUUAAAGGCCUACCAGAGGCCUCAAAGAAAUGGAACAAGCAUUGGCCAGAUAUUGAACAACCUUGGCCGGUUGAAGGUACCCUCAACCCUGAUGUGAUUCAAACAAUCUGUACACUUGUUACCGCCUAUAAAGCAAAUGAGAAAAAAGGAAAAAGGGGGACGUCUCAUGUAGAAAAAAGACAGACUGAACUCGCAAUGUUGCAACUUUUUGAACAGGAGGGACAGAAGUUGAGAUUGGCUGCAAAAAAGAAAAACAGAACAGCCAAAGAAAUUAUUGAAAGAACCGCAAAACAAACAGCGGCGCUUGUGGAAAAGAUGAACACUCCUUUCUCUCAUACGGCUCCUGUAACAACCCCUCCACCGUAUGAGACAGAAACUGAAUACACUGACAUCUAUCCACAACUUCCCGUACUCAGCCAGAAAGGCAAGUACAACAUUAAAGAUGAUCACAACCAAACUGUUGAAAAGGGAAAGGCAAAAACAGUCAUACACAUUUAUCCAACAACUCCAAAAUCUAAAUCAAGAAAAACACGAGAUGAUGUCUACAACACACUGCUUCUGGAGGAUGAUGAUGAGAGCGGUACGGAUGAAGCCAUAGGUGGUUAUGAUCCCGCCAUUAAGCGUGUGUUGGCUAAAGCUGAAAAGAGGGGUAACGAAUCUAAAAAGAAAGCUAAGUCUGGUCAAGAUCUGACCGAUGACAGCUCAGGGUCGGACACUGAUGAAGACUCAGAUGGCAAUUGUUCUUCCUCUGAGGAAAGACAACGUUCUUUGAGAAAUCUCGAAAGGGAUAUCGAACAGUGUCGUUUAGACAUUAGCUUGACGGGAACUCCAGAAGCUCAAAAGAUGCGAGAAAGAAAAUUGGAAGAUAUGGAAAAACGGCGUAAGUCGUUAAAGAAGGGAAGGCUUUCAAGGCUGAUCACUUCCGACUAUGCCUUGCAUUCAAAGAAAGACAGCUCUGCUAACAGAAUGUUCUCUGUUGUUGUUCGUGGUCAAAAUCUUGAGUAUAAACCUUGGCAGAACUCCGAUAUGUCAGAUAUAUUAGAGAAGCUACCUAUCCUUCAGGAAGGGGCACACCCCUGGAUUUCAAAACUGGAGGAACUUUUGAUUGGAACACAACCUGCUGUUGGAGACAUUAAAAGGCUCCUAGCUAAUCUCAUUGGUGUGUCUGCCAUGGAAGACCUUUUGCAGAAGGCUGGCAUGCCUCGGUUCAUGGCAACUGCAGUAAAUGAUGCUGAACUGUUUUCUGCUCACAGAGGUCAGUUUUGGGGGGCGCUGAAAGACACGUUUCCAACCAACAUACAUCCUGAUAAUAUCCUCAUUGAACCAUUGGGUGAACAAGAAAAUCCGAGAGCCUACGUUUCAAGAGCUCUACAAACUUGGCGUAAUGUCACAGGCAAUGAUCCCGACGCUAAUCAAAUGGAGCAGUCUAUAAUUCGAGCUAAAAUUCAGAAGGGAUUGCCACUGCCGGUGCGUAGUAAAAUAGCAGAGGUGGUUGGUCUUGGGAACAUGAUUAAGAGUGUUUACAUUGAUCACAUUGCUCACCAG